GUAAGAAAAGAGAACCAGAUCAAAUGGCCCCCUACUUGAUAUGCUUCCUAAUUUUUGGGUAUUUUAAAUGAAAAAUUAUUUUUUCAAUUUCUUGCAGAUUAGUAAAUACAGGAGAAAAUUUAUAUAAAUUACAUUUGGCAUCUGGUAAAUCCACUCUGAAAUAGACAACUACUUCCAAAAUCAAUUUUCACUACUAAUAUAGUUAGUGACAUUUCUACUCAAUUUAAUUCAAACCCUAUAAUGUAAAAUAUUGUUGUAUCGGUUCGAACGGUUCAUCCGGUUAGGUUUGUAGGCUUAUUUAGGCCCAAACAAAAGUUGUUUAACAAAUGGGCUGAGAUCCAUUUGCAACCCAUACCACGAAGUCCCCGUUUCUUUGUUCCGAUUGGAAAUUGCAGCCCAUUUUCCGGCGAUCCAGCAUCUCCGAUCUUCGUCUUUACGUUUUCAUCUUCCUUAACUCCUUCCGAGUUCCAACAAUGGCUUCCUGAAUCCAGCUCCAUCGUCUCCAUAGUCAACCUCAAAGAUCCCAGAAUGGAGCUUGCUCUUUCCAUCCUCUUCCUUUCUCUCAACUUCUCCUCUUUUCUUCGUCCUGCUACUGCUAGAGGCGGCCUUCAUACUUCCUACCCUCCAGGUUGCCCUUUUUGCAAAUUAUCCAUAAAAGUUCUGCACUGAACCAUGCUGAUUGAUAGCUUGAUACUAGGGUCUUACUUUCAUUCAUGGAAAAAGCAAACGAUUUGUUUGUUGAACAUUUGUCCAGAAUAAUUUCAUUCAUUUCCAUUAGACUUCUUCCGGCUGUACGUUGGCUUCAGUGUGAGUGUACGUUUUGAUCAUUAUUCAAUUUUACCUAUGAUGCCCAAUGUGUUCAGGUUUCUAAAUGUUUCUGUUAUAGUGUGAAACAAGCAUGGUGAUGUCAAUAGUAGGUCUUAAAGUGUUACUCUAAUGUUAUGAACAUUGCCAAUUACUUCUAAUAUGAUUAUGGAUUUUCGGAUGGUGCCUAACAAUUAUCCCAGAAUUUAUGCCAACGCUUAUUCAUUUUUAUUUUGCACAUAUGCUCUUGUCUUUUGAUCGAAAUUAAAUUACAGGAAAGAUUAUUUGCAUGUCCAGACGACGAGACAUUCCGGUUCUUACCAAGUGUAUAUAGUCACUCUCACCACAAUAUGUCAUUGCGCAAGGAAUUUGAGGGAGGGAUUACGAAUCGAGCUUUCUGACACCUGUUGUAGGUACCCUAUAUAUGGAGGCAUGCAAGAUUGGAACUACAAAAAUGGUGGCUGUUUUGAAUUGACUUUGGAGAUUAGUGAUAACAAAUGGCCUACUGCUAACGAGGUCAGGCAUCAGUUAGGGCGAGUGUGUGCAACCUUUAAAUAUAAAACGACAUUCUUUAGCCAAGUUUAUCAUGUAUAUGGGGAUACGGUUGCGCCCUUGGUGUAGCUAUAGGUCCAAUGGACCUCAGGGGGGGUGGGGACGGAACUUUGCAUGGUACUAGCUGUUCAUAUUGUGAAUGGCAAUAUAAAACCACGAAUUGUCAAUCCAUAGUUUGCCUUGCCUUAAUUUUUGCAUAUUGUGAAUGGCAAUAUAAAAGUAUUUAAGGAUACAGA